rnacentral:lncRNA from 1 species
CACGAAAUAAUCAACCAACAUUAUCAUAUGUAUACCUCCUCAUUGCAUAGUUUUCUUUGUGGGGUUCAUGUAGGCCUUCUCCACAACCUACAAACUCCACAGACAUUGGGCCAAACUCCAUUCAGCCCAUCUGAUCGGAUUCCAUUAAGCCCAAAAAAGCCCAACAAGUUCCGACAAGAAGAAAGAAAAUCUGAAACUCGGCAUCUGAUUGGCUAACACAUUCCCCGAAGCUAAUCAGCCUGCUGGCACUCUCCCUUAUCUCACCACCAAGAACAAAGAAAACCAGAGGAAAAAUUCUACAGAGUUUCUCCAACAAUGGCGCUCCAAGCUGCCACCUUUCUUCCUUCCACAGCCUCCCUCAACAAAGACGCCCGUGCCCUUCCUCGAAGAACUUCACUCUCACUGGAUUCCGCCUCUUCCUUCAACACAAGCAAGGUCAGUAAAGUAAAUUCCCCGGAUCCUUUUGGAAAAUGAUUUCAUAGGUGAGUGCAAUUUUUGCAGCAAUUCAAGUUGAGGAAAGCACCUUAUUACGGAGGAGGAGCGCUAGUCCUCCGAGCACAGACCACUGCUACGACCACGACUCCGAAUCAGACUGAUUCGGGCUCGAAGAAGACGAGCAGGAAGGGGAAUGUGAUCAUCACAGGAGCUUCGUCUGGGUUGGGACUCGCGAC